rnacentral:rRNA from 1 species
AACUGCGAAUGGCUCAUUAAAUCAGUUAUUGUUUAUUUGAUGGUACCUUUACUACUUGGAUAACCGUGGUAAUUCUAGAGCUAAUACAUGCUAAAAACCCCGACUCACGAAGGGGUGUAUUUAUUAGAUUCAAACCAGUGUCCCUCGGGACUUUUUGGUGACUCAUAAUAACUUAACGCAGCGCAUGGCCUUCGUGCCGGCGCGGGAUCAUUCAAAUACCUGCCCUAUCAAGUUUCGAUGUGAGGGUAGUGUCCUCACAUGCUUUUGACGGGUAACGGGGAAUUAGGGUUCGACUCCGGAGAGGGAGCCUGAGAAACGGCUACCACAUCCAAGGAAGGCAGCAGGCGCGCAAAUUACCCAAUCCCGAUACGGGGAGGUAGUGACAAGAAAUACCGAUUCAGGAUCUUAUUGGAUCUUGAGAUUGGAAUGAGUACAAUUCAAACCCAUUAACGAGGAACAACUAGAGGGCAAGUCUGGUGCCAGCAGCCGCGGUAAUUCCAGCUCUAGUAGCGUAUAUUAAAAUUGUUGCAGUUAAAACGCUCGUAGUUGAACUUUGGGCUUGGCUGGCUGGUCCGCCUCACCGCGUGCACUGGUCCGGCUGGGCCUUUCCUCUUGGGGAUCCACAUGCCCUUCACUUGGGUGUGUUGGGGAACCAGGACUUUUACUUUGAAAAAAUUAGGGUGUUCAAAGCAGGCAUUUGCUCGAAUACAUUAGCAUGGGAUAAUAGAAUAGGACGUGUGGUCUUAUUUUGUUGGUUUCUAGGACCGCCGUAAUGAUUGAUAGGGAUAGUUGGGGGCAUCGGUAUUCAAUUGUCAGAGGUGAAAUUCUUGGAUUUAUUGAAGACCAACUACUGCGAAAGCAUUUGCCAAAGAUGUUUUCAUUAAUCAGGGAACGAAAGUUAGGGGAUCGAAGAUGAUCAGAUACCGUCGUAGUCUUAACCGUAAACUAUGCCGACUAGGGAUCGGGUGGUGUUCCAUUUAUGACCCACUCGGCACCUUACGAGAAAUCAAAGUUU